CAUAGGUUAAUGAGGCGAACCGGGGGAACUGAAACAUCUAAGUACCCCGAGGAAAAGAAAUCAACCGAGAUUCCCCCAGUAGCGGCGAGCGAACGGGGAGGAGCCCAGAGCCUGAAUCAGUGUGUGUGUUAGUGGAAGCGUCUGGAAAGGCGCGCGAUACAGGGUGACAGCCCCGUACACAAAAAUGCACAUACUGUGAGCUCGAUGAGUAGGGCGGGACACGUGGUAUCCUGUCUGAAUAUGGGGGGACCAUCCUCCAAGGCUAAAUACUCCUGACUGACCGAUAGUGAACCAGUACCGUGAGGGAAAGGCGAAAAGAACCCCGGCGAGGGGAGUGAAAAAGAACCUGAAACCGUGUACGUACAAGCAGUGGGAGCCUCUUAAUGGGGUGACUGCGUACCUUUUGUAUAAUGGGUCAGCGACUUAUAUUCUGUAGCAAGGUUAACCGAAUAGGGGAGCCGAAGGGAAACCGAGUCUUAACUGGGCGUUAAGUUGCAGGGUAUAGACCCGAAACCCGGUGAUCUAGCCAUGGGCAGGUUGAAGGUUGGGUAACACUAACUGGAGGACCGAACCGACUAAUGUUGAAAAAUUAGCGGAUGACUUGUGGCUGGGGGUGAAAGGCCAAUCAAACCGGGAGAUAGCUGGUUCUCCCCGAAAGCUAUUUAGGUAGCGCCUCGUGAAUUCAUCUCCGGGGGUAGAGCACUGUUUCGGCAAGGGGGUCAUCCCGACUUACCAACCCGAUGCAAACUGCGAAUACCGGAGAAUGUUAUCACGGGAGACACACGGCGGGUGCUAACGUCCGUCGUGAAGAGGGAAACAACCCAGACCGCCAGCUAAGGUCCCAAAGUCAUGGUUAAGUGGGAAACGAUGUGGGAAGGCCCAGACAGCCAGGAUGUUGGCUUAGAAGCAGCCAUCAUUUAAAGAAAGCGUAAUAGCUCACUGGUCGAGUCGGCCUGCGCGGAAGAUGUAACGGGGCUAAACCAUGCACCGAAGCUGCGGCAGCGACGCUUAUGCGUUGUUGGGUAGGGGAGCGUUCUGUAAGCCUGUGAAGGUGGCCUGUGAGGGUUGCUGGAGGUAUCAGAAGUGCGAAUGCUGACAUAAGUAACGAUAAAGCGGGUGAAAAGCCCGCUCGCCGGAAGACCAAGGGUUCCUGUCCAACGUUAAUCGGGGCAGGGUGAGUCGACCCCUAAGGCGAGGCCGAAAGGCGUAGUCGAUGGGAAACAGGUUAAUAUUCCUGUACUUGGUGUUACUGCGAAGGGGGGACGGAGAAGGCUAUGUUGGCCGGGCGACGGUUGUCCCGGUUUAAGCGUGUAGGCUGGUUUUCCAGGCAAAUCCGGAAAAUCAAGGCUGAGGCG
rnacentral:rRNA from 1 species